rnacentral:rRNA from 1 species
AUACGGAGGGUGCGAGCGUUAAUCGGAAUUACUGGGCGUAAAGGGUGCGUAGGCGGCUUGAUAAGUCGGAUGUGAAAGCCCCGGGCUUAACCUGGGAAUUGCAUUCGAUACUGUCAGGCUAGAGUAUGUCAGAGGUUGGCGGAAUUCCUGGUGUAGCGGUGAAAUGCGUAGAUAUCAGGAGGAACACCAGUGGCGAAGGCGGCUAACUGGGACAAUACUGACGCUGUGGCACGAAAGCGUGGGGAGCAAACAGGAUUAGAAACCCUAGUAGUCC